AUGACAGGGCUAGGCUUUCAGCUAGGACUUGGGGACUUUGAAGUCACUAAUCAGUGGCACGUCAUAUCUUUAUUUAGGUACAACGUAAGGACAGGAAGAUGUCUUGUGGCCCCAGGGAGAGAUGGUGAGGCUAUCCUCAUGCAGGCAGAGAAGCUGUGCUCAAAACCUCAGCCAGUAUCCUCAGCAACAAAUGUGGUUACCACCAUUUUACAGACGGAGUUACCAAGCCGCCCGAGAACUUCAGGCCAGAACAAACCUGGUUUAAUGGUGGACAUGGACAUUUCAUCUCACCUCCUGAACAUGAGUUGACCUGAAAGCAAGACUGGGCUUGGCAGUGACUGACAUUACUUCUGUAUUAGUUGCUUAUCUGUUGCUGUUAUAAAAUAUGAUGACCCAAUACAACUUAAGGACAGAAAGGUUUAUUUUAGCUUAUGGUUCUAGAGGGUUUGAGUCCACAAUGGUGGUGAAGGCAAUGGCGCGUGGCGUCAGGAACAGGAAGCUGGGUGGUCACGUUUUCAUCCACACAUAAGAGGAUGGGGUGAGGCCUCAAACCCUCAAAGCCCACCCCCAGUGACACACUUCCUCUAGCCAGGCCCUACCUCCUAAAGGUUCUAUAACCUUUCCAAAUAGUACCACCAACUGGGGACCAAGUGUUCAAUUUGUGAGCCUACAGUGGAUAGUGUGUAUUCAGGUCACAACAGCUUCUGACGCAAAGGUGGGGCUCAAAUGUUCCUGUCUCAAAGCCUUCUGAUCCCAGCUGAGCCCACCACUCUGCUCACUUUGGCUCCAUCUUGUGGAACUGUCUGCUGGCUGUUUUCCUCCCAUCUUUAGGGAACUAGUAAAAUUAAGAGCUGUGAUUUCUCAGGCCUUUAAGGAGGAAGAGGACCUAGAAAGUGGGGUGGGGUGGGACCAUUGACUUAUAGGCCACUGGAGAGCCUUCUCUGGUCACCAAAGAAAGAUCCUGCUGUGGACUCACUGUCCCUGGAUGGAUACAGUGGGUCCCAGAGUCAUGGCAGUGGAAUGAAUGAAACCCAUUUUGGUGUCUCUGCAGAGGACGUGGAUACCAUCGUUGAGCAACUGAUGGAGAGUUCAGUUGGGCCCGUGGCUCUCAAUAGAUGCAGGCAGCUGUCCCUCACAACUCUUCUCUCUAGCAGGUGGGGCUUUCUGUGUCCUCUGUCUAUGGGUGUAGCCCUGUCCUUGGCACAGGCCUGACAGGAAGUGGAUGUUUUUGAAAGAUGCCUUGAGCAUGUGAGCUUUGACCAAUGCUCUUGCACACAGAAGUGCUCUCUAUUCAUGCUUGUUGGUUUUAUUAACAAAGCCGGCCACACAAAAGAAAGCUCAUUUCCAUUCCUUCCAGAAGAUUCCCUGUCUAGAUUGCUGAGCCUGGGACAUACAUUUCUCAAGGUUUAAUGGAGUAAGCCGUGUUGGACUGUCAUGGCCUUCCUAGCUGGGCUGAAAAAUGUCUUUGGAACCAGAUGCAGGGAGGUGAUGGGCAAGCUCCAAGACUUCCCAAGGAGCUGGAGUUCGAGUUGGCUCUGAAUCCCGUUUGUCGUCCCCAGCACACAGACUGGAGGCCUCCAGCUGCCAAGGACUUUGUUUUAUUGUCAUUGCAGUUGGCUACUCUCUGGGUUGGAGCUGCCAGGGUAGAGCCAUUGAGCCUCGGACGCUGGGCUGGGUAAUAAUAGCAAUUCCAUAAUUCUCACCCAAGCUCAGGCUAGAAAGAGGAACUGCUGGAGGUGGCUGAGGAAACAGGAGCCCCAGAAGCAGCAGCAGGAAUAACAGCAGGAUGGAGAGGAGGAGGGAGGAGGGGGAGGGAGGUACUGGCUGUUCUCUCUUACUUCCUCCCCCACCUGGCCUUGGAUGUGGCUCACGGAGCAUCUUUCAGUUAGCCUCAGUUCAGUUUUUCCAAGGCUUGUCACAAAAAGGAAGGCUGCAGUGUUAUUCUAAAGUCCCGGGGACACAGCAGAGGACUCUCAGGUAGGAAACUCUGAUAUCAUCUUGUGGAUCCUGCUACAUACAGCCUGCAUGGUGGUCAAGACGGCUUAAUUGGGAAAUGUCUGCAUGUUAUUUCUGUUAAACAUGCCUCUGGAAGAGGGGACACCAGAUUGAUAAAUUCUUCCAGGACUCCCCACCCCAGGCUGUCAAACCCUCAUUUGUGUGUGCUGAUGAGCUUAUGUUCCAGCCCUGGUCUGAGACACCUCUGGUUUCUGGCCUUGGAGUGGGAAGGCCUGUUGUGCUGUAUAGCUUCCUGGCGAUGGCGAAGCCAUUGCCCUCCACCCUUGCUUCUUACAUAGAAAAAUAAAUGGGUGAAAAUGGAUCUUUUCA
rnacentral:lncRNA from 1 species